rnacentral:snRNA from 1 species
AGCUUUGCGCAGUGGCAGUAUCAUAGCCAAUGAGGUUUAUCCAAAGCGCGAUUAUUGCUCAUUGAAAACUUUUCCCAAUCCAU